rnacentral:rRNA from 1 species
UGGAUUAGUGGCGGACGGGUGAGUAACGCGUGGGCAACCUGCCCUGUACAGGGGGACAACAGCUGGAAACGGCUGCUAAUACCGCAUAAGCGCACAGCAUCGCAUGAUGCCGUGUGAAAAACUCCGGUGGUACAGGAUGGGCCCGCGUUGGAUUAGGUAGUUGGUGAGGUAACGGCCCACCAAGCCGACGAUCCAUAGCCGACCUGAGAGGGUGACCGGCCACAUUGGGACUGAGACACGGCCCAAACUCC